rnacentral:rRNA from 1 species
GACGAACGCUGGCGGCGUGCUUAACACAUGCAAGUCGAACGGAAAGGCCCUGCUUUUGUGGGUUGCUCGAGUGGCGAACGGGUGAGUAACACGUGAGUAACCUGCCCUUGACUGUGGGAUAACUUCAGGAAACUGGGGCUAAUACCGGAUAGAAUCUCCUGCUGCGUGGUGGGGGUUGGAGAAUUUCGGCGGUUGGGGAUGGACUCGCGGCUUAUCAGCUUGUUGGUGGGGUAGUGGCUUACCAAGGCUUUGACGGGUAGCCGGCCUGAGAGGGUGACCGGCCACAUUGGGCCUGAGAUACGGCCCAGACUCCUACGGGCGGCAGCAGUGGGGAAUAUUGCGCAAUGGGCGGAAGCCUGAUGCAGCAACGCCGCGUGCGGGAUGACGGCCUUCGGGUUGUAAACCGCUUUCGCCUGUGACGAAGCGUGAGUGACGGUAAUGGGUAAAGAAGCACCGGCUAACUACGUG